CCUACGGGUGGCAGCAGUGGGGAAUAUUGCACAAUGGGGGAAACCCUGAUGCAGCGACGCCGCGUGAGUGAAGAAGUAUUUCGGUACGUAAAGCUCUAUUAGCAGGGACGAAAAUGACGGUACCUGACUAAGAAGCCCCGGCUAACUACGUGCUAGCAGCCGCGGCAAUACGUCGGGGGCAAGAGUUGUCCGGAUUUACUGGGUGUAAAGGGGGCGUAGUCGGCAGCGCAAGUCUGAAGUGAAAUACCAGGGCUUAACAAUGGGACUGCAUUUGAAACUGUGCAGCUGGAGUGCAGGAGAGGUAAGCGGAAUUCCGAGUGUAGCGGUGAAAUGCGUAGAUAUAAGGAGGAACACCAGUGGCGAAGGCGGAUUACUGGACUGUAACUGACGUUGAGGCGCGAAAGCGUGGGGAGCAAACAGGAUUAGAUACCCGAGUAGUC
rnacentral:rRNA from 1 species